rnacentral:misc_RNA from 1 species
CAGAGUUGUAAAACUCCCAAACCCAUGUGAACAUACCUGUUGCCUCGGUGGCCUACCCGGUAGCUCUACCCUGUAGCUACCCUGUAGUCCGCCGGUGGAAUUCAAAACUCUUGUUUUCAGUUGUCAUCUCUGAGAAUAAAACAAAUAAAUCA